rnacentral:tRNA from 1 species
UUCCUGGUGGUCCAGUGGUUAAGACUUGGCACUUUCACUGCCAUGACCAGGGUUCAAUCUCUGAUUGGAGA